rnacentral:rRNA from 2 species
CUGUAAGCCUGCGAAGGUGUGCUGUGAGGCAUGCUGGAGGUAUCAGAAGUGCGAAUGCUGACAUAAGUAACGAUAAAGCGGGUGAAAAGCCCGCUCGCCGGAAGACCAAGGGUUCCUGUCCAACGUUAAUCGGGGCAGGGUGAGUCGACCCCUAAGGCGAGGCCGAAAGGCGUAGUCGAUGGGAAACAGGUUAAUAUUCCUGUACUUGGUGUUACUGCGAAGGGGGGACGGAGAAGGCUAUGUUGGCCGGGCGACGGUUGUCCCGGUUUAAGCGUGUAGGCUGGUUUUCCAGGCAAAUCCGGAAAAUCAAGGCUGAGGCGUGAUGACGAGGCACUACGGUGCUGAAGCAACAAAUGCCCUGCUUCCAGGAAAAGCCUCUAAGCAUCAGGUAACAUCAAAUCGUACCCCAAACCGACACAGGUGGUCAGGUAGAGAAUACCAAGGCGCUUGAGAGAACUCGGGUGAAGGAACUAGGCAAAAUGGUGCCGUAACUUCGGGAGAAGG